GAAACCCUUUAGGUCUGAUUUCCUUCUUUGUUUCUCAUUUUUUAUUUAAAAUACAUAUUACCAACCCGAUCUUGUUGAUGACAAUGUAAGAGUCCAUUUGGACUUUAUGGCAUUGGGUUUGGAUUACAAAACUAAUAAUUCUGCCUCCAUUUUUAAAUGCACUGGGCUGACUUCACUUCAGAGGAGCUUCACACCUGGAAGGUUUUGAUAAAUCUCAAAUUCGAUUGAAGAUUCCUGAAUUGGACUGCAAUGCAUCGAUCUUGUUCAUCUCUGUUUCUCUCCAUAAAUGUAUGUAUGUUUCCUGAUGCUGAAGCGGGUGAGGUUCCUGUCGUGUAUGUCAUCCGCUCACCCAAGAGCUCACUGACUGAAGAACAUGUUAAGGAAUUUAUUGCAAAGCAGGUAUGGGCUUCUCACCUUUAUUCUAGAUCAUCACCAUUUUAUUUACUGCUUGUUUUCCCAAUGUCAGGCCUAUUUGUGCUUCUUCUGGUGCAUGUUUGUCCAGCAUGAGUGGUUGGCACAUGGUAAUUUUGUAGGAGACGUUUAAAAACUGAAAAGAUGUGCACCUCUGGUUUUAACAGGAUCUUGACUUUGGUGUAAGCCAGGAGUCGGUUACAUCAAUCUCCUGUUGUCCAUUGAUGUCUGAUGGGAAUCUCAAAAAUGCAUUUAAAAAUGGAAUUUGAGAUGUGUUGGGAUUCCCUCU